GGGCAAAUAGUGUAGUUGGUUAUCGCGCCCGCUUCGCAGAUCUUGCGUAAUCAACCCAAGACGGCAAUGCGGGAGGUGCUGGGUUCAAUUCCCAGUUUGUCCA